UCGCUUUUAGUUUCCCGCCGAUGGUCAGCUGUUUUCAGGAGGGAAAUGGAGGCAAAUGUGGACUCCGACUGCGACAUCUCCGAGGAUGAAGAUUUUGAUUCAAUCGAAGGAGCUAAGGAGGAAAAGGAAGAAGUUCAGCUCAAUUUGAGACUGGAAAAGCUCAAAGGAAUCAGAGGCAAAACGAAACCUAAAUUUACGUUUCAUUCACAGAGGAGAGAACUAUCAUGCUCUGUUAUUCAUAAGAAUAGACUCUGCUCAGCUCCCAUAUCUAAGGUUCAUAAUUUAUCUGACACCUUUGAUGCCGUUAUAUCAAGAUCUGAGAAGUAUCCAGUUGCAGAAUGUGUUGAAGAUUUUGUGGAAGAAUUUGAAGACCAAUCUGACGUAGGACCUGCAGAGAAGUGUGGAAAUACUGAAAGUUCAAUUUCCGAGCUUUUAGAUGGCCUUAAAGAUAAGAAUGACCCGCUGGGUUGUCGUCCUGGAUGGCGUAGCCAAGUUGGAGGGAAAAUGAUCCCAAUUAUUGAGAAGAAAGCUCUUGUUGCACUUGGAGAUAGAAAUGCUGACAGUGAAGACUCCCAUACUUCUGUGGACACGGAAUCAUCAAGUGACCACGAGGUCAAUGAUCAAAAGUUGAAGCUUGCUGGCCCAUGUACGAAGGAGCAAUCGAUAACUGAUAGAUUUGAGGAGGCUUUAGUUGCUGCAUGCAUGGACGCUGAAAGAACUCUUAGCUUGGUGCCAAAUCCAUUAAGAAUCGGCUUAUAUGGAAAGUUGCAGCGAGUCGUGCAGAGCGAAAAAGAAAGAGAGACGAAUUUCUUGAGUGGGUUACAUUGUAGCACAACUCCAAAUGGCUGCAUCGAUGUAAAAGUCCUAUCAAGAUACUUGGAUGCAAAGUUAACAGUAUGCUCCUGCCUGUUUAUAGACGUCGAGCACUCGGCGUUGCAAAAUGGCGACGAAGCUAUUGCAACUGAAGGUGAGAAAAGGACUGUUAUUUUCAGCCCCAGAGUUUGCAGCAAUGUUGAACUUGAAGUUGGGAACUUGAUUCGUAUCAUUCCCCCAUGGAAGGAAGUUUCAGUGGACCAUGCUCACAACAUUAUCUUGUCAACAUAUUUCUCCCAACUCUCUUGAGAUCUCCUUGUAAGGAAUGUUGCACACUCGCCUGAUUGACAAAACAACAAUGUUUACCCAAAAGUUCUCCUAUUUCAACGAAUAGAGAAAUUUUCCCGCCGGCGCCGUCAGCCGAGAGGAGGCUGAAUUGAUUUUCUUCUUCACCAACACGACGAUCCUCAUUAAAAUUCUCGGAGCCGGUCAAUCAAAAACCCUCUCUAAUCCUCUCUCUCUCAACCGCCAGCGGCAACCACCUGAAAAGACGCCAAAGAAUCAACUCUCUCAUAAAUCUCAAUCGGCGACCCACCAAAAAUCUCCCUCCGUUUCAUCAUACCCACAAGCC